UACGUAGGGGGCAAGCGUUGUCCGGAAUCAUUGGGCGUAAAGCGCGUGUAGGCGGCCCGGUAAGUCCGCUGUGAAAGUCCAGGGCUCAACCCUGGGAUGCCGGUGGAUACUGUCGGGCUCGAGUCCGGAAGAGGCGACUGGAAUUCCUGGUGUAGCGGUGAAAUGCGCAGAUAUCAGGAAGAACACCCGUGGCGAAGGCGGCUCUCUGGGACGGUACUGACGCUGAGACGCGAAAGCGUGGGGAGCGAACAGG
rnacentral:rRNA from 1 species